GGGGUUGUAGCUCAGUGGUAGAGCACUUACCUCAAGCACAUGAGGUCCUGGGUUCGAUCCUCAGCACCG
rnacentral:tRNA from 1 species